rnacentral:rRNA from 1 species
GACGUAGGGCGCGAGCGUUGUCUGGAUUUAUUGGGCGUAAAGAGCUCGUAGGCGGCUCGUUGCGUCAACCGUGAAAACUCGAGGCUCAACCUCGGGCUUGCAGUGGGUACGGGCAGACUAGAGUGCGGUAGGGGAGACUGGAAUUCCUGGUGUAGCGGUGGAAUGCGCAGAUAUCAGGAGGAACACCGAUGGCGAAGGCAGGUCUCUGGGCCGCAACUGACGCUGAGGAGCGAAAGCAUGGGGAGCGAACAGG